rnacentral:rRNA from 1 species
GCGCAGCAGUCGAGAAUACUUUACAAUGUGCGAAAGCACGAUAAGGGAACUCUGAGUGCCUCCUAAGGAGGCUGUUCGGUGUCUAAAAGCACCUGAAGGAAGGGCUGGGUAAGACCGGUGCCAGCCGCCGCGGUAACACCGGCAGCCCAAGUGGUAGCCACGUUUAUUGGGUCUAAAGCGUCCGUAGCCGGCUGGGUAAGUUCCUUGGGAAAUUUGGCUGCUUAACAGUCAAGCUUUCAGGGAAUACUGCCCGGCUUGGGACCGGGAGAGGUCAGAGGUACUCCAGGGGUAGGGGUGAAAUCCAUUAAGUCCUUGGGGGACCACCGGGUAGCGAAGGCGUCUGACCAGACCGGAUCCGACGGUGAGGGACGAAGGCUAGGGGCGCGAACCGGAUUAGA